rnacentral:rRNA from 1 species
UACCAGCACCCCGAGUGGUCGGGACGAUUAUUGGGCCUAAAGCAUCCGUAGCCGGUUUUACAAGUCCUCCGUUAAAUCCAGCUGCUUAACAGAUGGGCUGCGGAGGAUACUAUGGAGCUAGGAGGCGGGAGAGGCAAGCGGUACUUAGUGGGUAGGGGUAAAAUCCGUUGAUCCAUUGAAGACCACCAGUGGCGAAGGCGGCUUGCCAGAACGCACUCGACGGUGAGGGAUGAAAGCUGGGGGAGCAAACCGG